rnacentral:rRNA from 1 species
AUUGAACGCUGGCGGCAGGCCUAACACAUGCAAGUCGAGCGGGGUUUUCGGACCUAGCGGCGGACGGGUGAGUAAUGCGUAGGAAGCUGCCCGAUAGAGGGGGAUACCAGUUGGAAACGACUGUUAAUACCGCAUAAUGUCUACGGACCAAAGUGUGGGACCUUCGGGCCACAUGCUAUCGGAUGCGCCUACGUGGGAUUAGCUAGUUGGUGAGGUAAUGGCUCACCAAGGCGACGAUCUCUAGCUGGUUUGAGAGGAUGAUCAGCCACACUGGAACUGAGACACGGUCCAGACUCCUACGGGAGGCAGCAGUGGGGAAUAUUGGACAAUGGGCGCAAGCCUGAUCCAGCCAUGCCGCGUGUGUGAAGAAGGCCUUCGGGUUGUAAAGCACUUUCAGCGAGGAGGAAGGGGUGUGUGUUAAUAGUACACACCUUUGACGUUACUCGCAGAAGAAGCACCGGCUAACUCUGUGCCAGCAGCCGCAGUAAAAC